rnacentral:rRNA from 1 species
GUGGGGAAUCUUGCGCAAUGGGCGAAAGCCUGACGCAGCCAUGCCGCGUGAAUGAUGAAGGUCUUAGGAUUGUAAAAUUCUUUCACCGGGGACGAUAAUGACGGUACCCGGAGAAGAAGCUCCGGCUAACUUCGUGCCAGUAGCCGCGGUAAUACGAAGGGGGCUAGCGUUGCUCGGAAUUACUGGGCGUAAAGGGCGCGUAGGCGGACAGCUUAGUCAGAGGUGAAAGCCCAGGGCUCAACCUUGGAAUUGCCUUUGAUACUGGCUGUCUUGAGUUUGGGAGAGGUGAGUGGAACUCCGAGUGUAGAGGUGAAAUUCGUAGAUAUUCGGAAGAACACCAGUGGCGAAGGCGACUCACUGGCCCAAUACUGACGCUGAGGCUCGAAAGCGUGGGGAGCAAACAGGAUUAGAUACCCUAGUAGUCC